UACGGGGGGGCAAGCGUUGUUCGGAAUUACUGGGCGUAAAGGGCUCGUAGGCGGCCAACUAAGUCGGAUGUGAAAUCCCCAGGCUUAACCUGGGAACUGCAUCCGAUACUGGAUGGCUUGAAUUCGGGAGAGGGAUGCAGAAUUCCAGGUGUAGCGGUGAAAUGCGUAGAUAUCUGGAGGAAUACCGGUGGCGAAGGCGGCAUCCUGGACCGGCAUUGACGCUGAUGAGCGAAAGCCAGGGGAGCAGACGGG
rnacentral:rRNA from 1 species